rnacentral:rRNA from 1 species
UACGUAGGGUGCGAGCGUUAAUCGGAAUUACUGGGCGUAAAGCGUGCGCAGGCGGUUUUGUAAGACAGAGGUGAAAUCCCCGGGCUCAACCUGGGAACUGCCUUUGUGACUGCAAGGCUUGAGUGCGGCAGAGGGGAUGGAAUUCCGCGUGUAGCAGUGAAAUGCGUAGAUAUGCGGAGGAACACCGAUGGCGAAGGCAAUCCCCUGGGCCUGCACUGACGCUCAUGCACGAAAGCGUGGGGAGC